rnacentral:rRNA from 1 species
AUACGGAGGGUGCGAGCGUUAAUCGGAAUUACUGGGCGUAAAGCGCGCGUAGGCGGUUUGGUCAGUCGGAUGUGAAAGCCCUGGGCUCAACCUGGGAAUGGCAUUCGAUACUGCCUGACUAGGGUAUGGUAGAGGGAAGUGGAAUUUCCGGUGUAGCGGUGAAAUGCGUAGAUAUCGGAAGGAACACCAGUGGCGAAGGCGACUUCCUGGGCCAAUACUGACGCUGAGGUGCGAAAGCGUGGGGAGCAAACAGGAUUAGAUACCCCAGUAGUCC